CUUUCUAAAACAGUCACCUUCUGCCGUUGGUGACCGCAAGCCCUGGGAAGGGCACAGCUGUCUGCUUAGCCACACCUGAAACUUACAGGUAUUAUCAAAAUAACACUGACGCAAUCUAUCCAGAACAGGAAGGACUGAGAGUCAGCUGGCUCAGAAUAAGACUGUGAAGGGGUCUUCUGAGUGCCCUGUUGCACCUUUGCAGGCACUUCUCUGCUUCUUGAUUGCUUCGACAUCCAAUUUCGAAGAGUCCAACAGAUCCAAACGGAUUUAGGAUGAACUUCCUAAAGGAUUCUUUGCUCAGAUUUGGAAGAAUGACACAGUCGUCUCCUCUCCACGCUACGGUACCUGUUACCUUCAUCCUGAUGGGAGCUGAAAAGAUGAUGGGGCUCGAGUUUUCUUGCCCGUGUCAGCCUCAAUUGAAUUUAAGCCUGGUCUCCUUUAUGUUCAGUGUCCCUGCUCUACUUGUGUUCACCAUAAUGCUGAUUCUGGCGAGGCCUUGUAAAUACACAUGCGGAUGCUGUUCAUGCAGAAAGUUCGCAGAGUCUUUCUUUGCUUGCCUGAUUCCACCAACCGUGUGGUUCAUUUUGCUGUUUCUGGAUGGCCGGUAUUUGGCCUGUGGGAUGACAAACUGGAAUGGAAUGUACGUGUCGGAUAUGGGUGAUCCUCCGGUGAGGUGGUGCGAACCUGUUGGAUCAAGUAAAAUAAAAGGAAGAAGAUUGCACCAAGAUUUUAUAACAUAUUCAAAGAUUGUGGGUUAUUUUCUGCUGUUUGGCAUCUGCCUUGUAAUCGUGUGUGCUGUGUGUUGCUGGGACUGCUGUCAUCCAAAAGAGCAGGAUGUGGAAAAAGUAUCAGAUGGUGAAACACGUCAACAGUGAAGUGGAAUUGACAGUUCUGUGAUGGAUCCUGAUGGUUUCUCCUGCACUACGGCCCUGCUUGACCACCAUACAGCCAAUUGUUUGUGCCAUUCAACCUGGAAAAGUCCUGAUCUGGACGUUCCAGAGGCUUCAACGAACAGUCAGCUGUCACAUUCCUCUCACACUUCUGCCAUGAGCUCCAUCCCUGCAACCCCCAAAUCAACUCUGGAGGUUUUACACUGGACUUCAUCCCCACUGUGGCAUCACAUUUCACAUCCAGAAGAGUGCAGUGCAACUUUAUUUGAGCUAUAUAACCUCACAGAGUUGAGUUUAUACUCAUUACGUGAAUUAUAAACUCCAUGUUACAUAAGCUAUAUUUUGUAUCAUUCAUCUACACACAGUUGUUCUGAUUUUGGGCCAGUGGCUUUAGAUAUAAAUAAAGCACAUUUCAUUGCCACUA